CAUCAUGCACGGUCUUGGCGCGUCUACGCAACUGUAUCCUAAGGGCGUCGAAGAGGAGAGACGGUACGCCGGUGGCGACAAGGUACGGUAGAUUUGAACUAGAGUGUGGAGGUAUCGUCGGCCAGUGCCAUCAGCGAUGGGUGGAGGUUUCCGUCGAGUCGAGGAAGAAGGAGCGCUUCGUGUAAAGGUAGCACUGCUUGCUCACGUUAAUCUUCCCUAUGCCUACAUCUAUGUUUUGGUUUUGCUGACCUGCAUUAAUACAGCCACUUGUUUUGGUCCUCGGUAUGUUUUCUAUGUUUUGGUUUUUCUAAUCUGCAUUGGAAGGCAUGCCUUCGGUCAUCAAUAAGACGAUGCUAAUACCUGCCAGGUUCAACAUAAUGAAAACACUGAGAGAAAACAUUAUGGAAGGUUCGAGCGAACAACAAAAAGAUGGAAAUUCACCAUAUUCCAGCAGCCUCAAAUUUGGACUUCCAGUCAGCUUCAUAGUCCUCCUGGAAAAUGUCCUUAAACCUGCAAAGUCACAUAAUAUCAAAACGGAAAUACACACACAUACAUAUAGGACCAAUUGUCUAUAUACAAGCAAAAGGUAAUAAGAGCAUAUAAAGAUGUAAGCACCUGCCAUCAUAUUUUUUCAGGAUCGUGUUUUUGGUGCUAAGGUAGAACAUCCAUUUCUUCUCAUAAGCAGUUGUCAUAGAAGCCUCGGCAAAAGCUCGGAUUGACUACCAUAGCAAUUAAAAAGAUGUUCAGCUAAGGGUCCGUUUUCCUGGGCUGGUCUUGGCCUGGAUCUUGUGCUUUCCAACUGAAUCUACACUUCUUAAUUUCUAAGAAAAAGAUGUCUGCAUCAAUAUCUCUUGGGAGGAUAUUGGUGGGCUGGAGAAUGUCAAGAGGGAGCUCCAGGAGAUAAUUAGAUGCUAAUUGACCACCUGCUCUUGGUAUUGUGUAUGUUCCACAUUUUGCUGAUUUCUUUCAAAAUUGAUGCAGACUGUUCAAUAUCCUGUGGAGCAUCCGGAGAAGUUGGAGAAGUUUGGCAUGUCUCCAUCCAAAGGAGUUUUGUUAUAUGGUCCUCAUGGUUGCGGUAAGACCUUGUUGGCAAAGGCAAUUGCCAACGAGUGCGAGGCUAAUUUCAUCAGUGUCAAGGGUCCUGAGUUGCUUAUCAUGUGGUUUGGUGAGAGUGAAGCCAACGUCCGUGAAAUUUUUGAUAAGGCUCGUCAAUCUGCUCCUUGUGUCCUCUUCUUUGAUGAGCUUGACUCAAUUGCUUCCCAGGUCUAUACACGUCUCACCUUGGGUCUUUAUUUAUUUGUGGUGUCAUGUUUUUUGUCUUACAGAUAUUAACACAUGUCACUGAACUGCGCUCUUACAUUUUUAUUCCAUCGUUGUGCAAUUGUUUGGUAAGCUGCGUAACCAUUUAAUUAUAUGCAUAUAUUUUCUAUCUAAAAAUAAAUUAUGCAUUUAUUUGGUUAGCUGACACCAUCAGCUUUGCAUUUUUCAUUAGUAGGUUCUGUUGAAUGUAUUCAAAGAAUAGCUUGUAGUAAUAUAGGGUCUUGGUUUUGGUAAGCAUUGUCGAUGCUCUGGUAGAAUAUAUCUUGAGUUACAAAUGCGAGCUUCAGUUUUCACGCAACUUCAUGAAAGCUUAGCUUUAUAGCGCAGUUCAGUGUUAAUUAUUUAAUUUUGUAGGUAAUAAAAAUGCAUUUCUUAUCCUUUAUGGUAGACAUUUCUGUCCUUUGCUACUGUCUAACUGAAUAGCUGAAAUACAAUGUUUUCAUUGGUCGAUUAAUAUUCUAUCCACUUGAAUCACAAUCACUCUCAUAAAGAAAAUUUCUUUUCCGUAAUUGAAGUUAAUGAACAAUACAACCAGGGAAUUGUUUUGCAUCCAUUGCAUGUCAUUUUUAGGUACCAAAGUAAACAAGCUCUGGACAGAUUCGCUUUCAGUUUCAGUGAUCCUGUUUGCAACAUCCAAGCAUCCUGUAAUCACCUGUAUAGCAGUUACACCUGUUCAUGUACAUGCUUUUAAUAAUAAAUCAACAACCGACAUGAUAGCUUUAUUGUAGAUGUUGUUUGUUUAUUGUUAUUAUCUUAUCGAAAGUGCUGUCAAGGAAGAUGACGAUGGUGGUAGGGAUCGACGAUAGCGAGCACAACUUCUACACGCUGAAGUGGGCGCACUGCAGCACUUCUUCCCGCCGACCAAGCUGCAACACUACUGCCUUGUUGUCGUCACCGCCAAGCCCUCUGUCGCCUCCAUUGUUCGCCCUG
rnacentral:lncRNA from 1 species